UACGUAGGGGGCCAGCGUUGUUCGGAAUCACUGGGCUUAAAGAGUCCGUAGGCGGCUUGUUAGGUGAGGUGUGAAAUCCCUCGGCCCAACCGAGGAAUUGCGCUUCAAACCGGCAAGCUAGAGGAGGAUAGAGGUGGGCGGAACUGAUGGUGGAGCGGUGAAAUGCGUUGAUAUCAUCAGGAACACCGGAGGCGAAGGCGGUCCACUGGGUCCUUUCUGACGCUGAGGGACGAAAGCUAGGGGAGCGAACGGG
rnacentral:rRNA from 1 species